UUGGGGCUCGACCACCGUUAAGAGCACACCAGUUUCCACUUGGCUGCUAAAAGGAAGGAGGAAGAUGCAAGCAACAGGAGAAUUUUAGACAUCUUUUCAUUAUUUUUAACGUUUUUAUCCCUCUCUUUUUGUGCAUAAACUGUAAGAGCAGAGGUUAAAAUUCCACGUAUAGUUACAGGGAAGAUAGUUUGUAGUUCAAACACCAAUUGGAUCGUAUACCAAAAGAAAAGAUUGUGAAGCUUGUUGCGACAUAGACUUCAGGAAAAAGAGCUCAGAUCACAGAGACCCCAAAAAUUGUUCUCUCAGACCAUCUCUGGUCGACCAUAAUCCAAAAACAUGCACGAUAUCAUCGAUAUACGUAUCGUGUUGUAUAUCUCUAGUACUUGGCCUGAUGAGUCUGCUAGCCAUCUCAACAAUCAAAAUAUGCACAGCCUCGUCCCGUAUCUUGUUAAGGAAAACAAAUAAAGGGAUGAGUUAAAAGUCUAGUGAGAUUCCAAGAAAAUAUAUAAGCAAACUAAUAAGUAUCUCAAAAGUCGCAUUAAGACAUAAUCACGUUUGACAUGUAACAAGAAAUAUCCAGAGAUAUCAUUUAACAGUGAUACGAUCACGUUUUUCAUGGAGCAGACAUGAGCAAACCAAAUAAUAACACGUAGUACAAUCAAUUUUAAAAGAUACGGGAUAGAUACAGGCUUUAGAGGUGGCUCGUACGGGCUUUAGAGGUGACCCCCGUCGCAAGUGGCACUUAGCACUGCACAACACUUAGUUCCGUUCAAUUAUUCAAGAUCAAUCAUCCAUAUUCGGACUCUAAAAGUGCCUCCCGUCUAUUUCGAAUGUAGUAAGACUCUAGAGGUGGCUCUCGUCCAUUUCGAACGGAGCACGUAGCUCCGUUAGAAAUUUAAUAGCAAUAUUCAUAUUCAAACUCUAGAGGUGGCUUCCAUCUAUUUCGGACGUAGCACUUAACUCCGUCAGAAAUUCAAUCAUUACUAGUAUAACGACUUCAAAUCAAGCACAUAUAUAUCUUUCACAUAUAAAUAGAAGGAUAGCGAUAUAGUCAAAUUAAGUCGAGUGCGAUAAAUUAUACACUCGCCUAACCAAUAUUCAAUUCAAGAGAGCUAGCAUUUCAAUCAAUCGAUAAUCUUAUCAAAACAGCAUUUGAAUCAAGUACAAAUCAGACCAUACCAUUGAAACACUCACCAAAUGAAGUGGAUCGUCACACCUCGAUUAUAGGUUUUCCUUCUAACUCACCAUCGACUCCUGAGACAUGCCCAAACUACAAGUACUAAACUUUUCUCCGCUACAAACUUUCACUCCAAAAAUACUAUCUUAGUCAAACCGACUAUAAUAUCACUUAAAAUUCUAGUUUAGAAGAGUUAUCAAAGAAGUAGGUUAAGGUAUAUAUAGUUUUAUAAUCAAAUUCUUGAAAAUAAGGUUGGAAACCAUGUCCUCACUCUCUCAACUACUAUUGAUAGAAAUUGUCACCAAUAUUACUUCAAACUUUUCUCCAAAAAUCAGUGAAUUUAAGUUAUAUAGAUCAUUUUAGAAGCAAAACUCUUAUGAGAUAGUGUAAAUGGGAUUUUAGUCAGAUUUGGAUAAAUUUCUAUUUUAGAGUUUAAAGUUAGACCCUAAAAUCUAAGUACGAGUUUAAGAUAAUUUGAAACAGAAUUUUUAGCACAAUGUGAUUCAUGUUUUCCAUCUAAAGUCCAUUAGUUCUUAGCUUAGAUCUUCUUCAAUUUAACAUGCAUUUUACUAUCAUACUUUCUAGGUUGUUUUAAACUUAAAGUUUGGUCGGAGUUCCCAAAAAAUUUAGAAAAUAGUUUGAAAUCCUCAACCAUUUCAAUCGGUCCAAAACAAACUCAAAUAGCUGACAGCUCGAGUUUCUUUCCCUAAAACUCAAUGUUUCUUGCUCUAGUCAGAGUAAGUAGAAAAUACAAGGUAAAAUGGAGGAUUAUAGAGUGUUCUUGACCAAUAUUUGCACAAUUCCAUUUCACAAUAAUAUUUGCACAAUAGAAAUAACUGGAAGAAAACACAGCCACACUCUUGGAUAUAAAUCAGCAAUUCAGUCAUGUUCAUUUCAAAAAUUUCAUUCAAUCUUCCAAAUUAUCAAACAAGAUCCAUCAUACAAUCACGUAAACACUGAAAUGAGGGCAUGCAGCUUCAAAGUCCAGCAAAACUUUUCAAGAAAUUUCUGUUUUAAAACAAAAUUCUCAACUUUACUCCAUCGAUUCUCAAAUAUCAACAUAAACAAAAGUUUCAGCAAGGUUCCUCCAAAAAUCGGCACUUAUCUCAUUUGGAUUCAAGCAAAACACUACAUGCAUGUCAAGAUAAAAGAGAUAAUAGGUAUGUAAAGUGCUUUUAGAUAGAAUUUAACAAAAUUUUUGAAAAACAAGAACUGAAACUCGUAGCUUUCCUUCUUGAUUUGCUGUCUAGAAAUUUCGGCUUUGAAAAUGCUUUAAAAGUCAAUCUUUUCAUGCUUUUAACUCCUCAAAUAUCACAUACAUGACUAGAUUUAGGUGUUAGCAGGUAUAUAGAGUCAAGAUGUGUCAAUUUACAACUAAAAUUUUAGGGAUAAAGUUGAAAAAAUCACAGCUUCUUCCCCACGGUUCCAACAAAACAAAAUUUCCAAUAAGCAUCAUUUCUUUGAAAAAUCAUAACUCGAAUUAUAAAUGCCAAUAAAUUAUAAAAAUUACCCCCUUAAAAACUAGACUUGAAGUACUAACAAUCUUUAGAAGAUACCUCAAAUAGAUUCAGUUCAUAAAUUGGUCCAAAUUGAGUCGCAAGUUAUUACAACAUUCUAGUUUUUACUUGUGCAAGACAGAAUUUUCAGUUAAUAUUGCCAAUUUUUGGUGUGUUUAUAAAAUGAAGCUCAAAUUUUAUACUUUGAGUCUAGUUUCAAAUGCAAUUAACGGCAUUCAAUUUCGAUUUUUGUACACUAAGUAAUGAUCAUUUUACUAAACCUACCCGGGGAUGAUUGUCACCCUAAAUUUCAACCUUCCACUUGUUUGACAAUACCAAAUACACAGCAUAUCAUUUAUCCAACAUAAAAUGAAGGAAUUAGCAAUAAUCUAGUUCUAUUACAUAUUUUUUUCGGCUAAGCAUUUUACCAAAAAAACUUCACAAAAUUUGUCAUCAACUACCACAAUAACUCUGUCAUCAGCUAAGCAAAAUUUUCAGCAAGAAAAUUGAAACUUUUCUUCACCAAAACUUUCUCUUUUCUGCUCAAAUCUAACUUACAUCCUUAAAGCUUAAAAAGGCAUGGAAGAAGGAAAGAUUUACAGCACUUUUUUACCUUUUUUUUCCCAAGAAAUUGAAGCUGAAAAUUGAAGAAUCAAGACUGACAGCUUUCCACUUUUUUCUUUUCUCUCUCGGCUGCAACAAGAGGGAUGGAGCAAAUUUUCUCCAAUCUUUCUCAAGCUCUUUCCCCUUGGUUGUGAAUUGGUCAUGGUUGAAAUCCCUCAAACUUUCCUAGUUUCUUCCUCAGUUUCAAGACUCAGAAAAGGAACAAAACUUCUCACUCACCACUCAAUUUCUUGGCUGGAAUAAACUUGGAAUAUUGGAGCUUUUCUCUUCUUGAUUUGUUGGGGGAAAAUAGAAGGAGGCAAGGGUUCUCUUGGCUGCAAGACAAGGAAGAAAGGGCAAGGAUUUCAAGCUUUCUCUCUCUCUCUCUCUCUCUCACUAUUGGCUAGAAGGUUGGAGCAAGACAAGGAAAAAUCUUGCACCUUUCCCUCUAGUCUCUCGGCUGAAACAAGGAAGAAAAACUUUAAUUUUUCUCUCAACUUUGCUUAUUUCUCUCGGCUAAACAAUGGAGAAAGACAAAAGAAAGCUUUCACUAAAGAGGUUUAUGUCUUGUGGUUGAUUACCAACACUUAGCAAAAUUGUCAUCUCUACAUGCCAAACACAUGUAAGUUGUCAAAAGUUACUCUAACAAUUAUCCCUUACUUCUAGAUUAUCAUGUU
rnacentral:lncRNA from 1 species